AUUGAACGCUGGCGGCAGGCCUAACACAUGCAAGUCGAACGGUAACAGGAAGCAGCUUGCUGCUUCGCUGACGAGUGGCGGACGGGUGAGUAAUGUCUGGGAAGCUGCCUGAUGGAGUGGGAUAACUACUGGAAACGGUAGCUAAUACCGCAUAAUGUCGCAAGACCAAAGAGGGGGACCUUCGGGCCUCUUGCCAUCGGAUGUGCCCAGAUGGGAUUAGCUUGUUGGUGGGGUAACGGCUCACCAAGGCGACGAUCCCUAGCUGGUCUGAGAGGAUGACCAGCCACACUGGAACUUAGGCACGGUCCAGACUCCUACGGGAGGCAGCAGUGGGGAAUAUUGCACAAUGGGCGCAAGCCUGAUGCAGCCAUGCCGCGUGUAUGAAGAAGGCCUUCGGGUUUUAAAGUACUUUCAGCGGGGAGGAAGGGAGUAAAGUUAAUACCUUUGCUCAUUGACGUUACCCGCAGAAGAAGCACCGGCUAACUCCGUG
rnacentral:rRNA from 1 species